rnacentral:rRNA from 1 species
GGCUCAUUAUAUAAGUUAUCGUUUAUUUGAUAGUACCUUACUACUUGGAUAACCGUGGUAAUUCUAGAGCUAAUACAUGCUGAAAAUCCCGACUUCGGAAGGGAUGUAUUUAUUAGAUUCAAAACCAAUGCCCCCUGGGCUCACUGGUGAUUCAUGAUAACUCCUCGAAUCGCACGGCCUUGCGCCGGCGAUGGUUCAUUCAAAUUUCUUCCCUAUCAACUUUCGAUGUUUGGGUAGUGGCCAAACAUGGUUGCAACGGGUAACGGAGGGUUAGGGCUCGACCCCGGAGAAGGAGCCUGAGAAACGGCUACUACAUCCAAGGAAGGCAGCAGGCGCGCAAAUUACCCAAUCCCGACACGGGGAGGUAGUGACAAUAAAUACUGAUACAGGGCUCUUUUGGGUCUUGUAAUUGGAAUGAGUACAAUUUAAAUCCCUUAACGAGGAACAAUUGGAGGGCAAGUCUGGUGCCAGCAGCCGCGGUAAUUCCAGCUCCAAUAGCGUAUAUUAAAGUUGUUGUGGUUAAAAAGCUCGUAGUUGAACCUUGGGCCUGGCUGGCCGGUCCGCCUCACCGCGUGUACUGGUCCGGCCGGGCCUUUCCCUCUGUGGAACCCCAUGCCCUUCACUGGGCGUGGCGGGGAAACAGGACUUUUACUUUGAAAAAAUUAGAGUGCUCCAGGCAGGCCUAUGCUCGAAUACAUUAGCAUGGAAUAAUGAAAUAGGACGCGCGGUUCUAUUUUGUUGGUUUCUAGGACCGCCGUAAUGAUUAAUAGGGACAGUCGGGGGCAUCAGUAUUCAAUAGUCAGAGGUGAAAUUCUUGGAUCUAUUGAAGACUAACUACUGCGAAAGCAUUUGUCAAGGAUGUUUUCAUUAAUCAGGAACGAAAGGUAGGGGAUCGAAGACGAUCAGAUACCGUCGUAGUCUUAACCAUAAACUAUGCCGACUAGGGAUCGGACGAUGUUAUUUUUUGACUCGUUCGGCACCUUACGAGAAAUCAAAGUGCUUGGGCUCUCAGGA